GGGAGAAAUGUUCAGAUAGAAGUAAUGCGUAAUUAAGAUCUAAUCUAUGUUGCAAGCUCUUGUUGUGAUUUGGGUGUAUGUGUUUAUUACAGAAUGGUUGUUAUAUUAUGUUUUCUUGUGAUAUUUCUUAAAAAGCUUGGCCACUUGCAGUACGGUUAAUAAUGCGAGUGUUUCUGGGGGCUUACGUCUAGGAGGAGGCGAUUGCGGAAUUGGUCGGGUAUUCCAGUCGGCGGGCGCGGCGGUCUUUCCGGGGACAAAGUUGUAUACGCGCAAAUCGAUACCCUCAUGAUCACCGGGCACGUGCCAAGCCAAACACGGCGUCAACAGCAAUAAGCAUCCCACACUGCGCCACGAUCGUGUUGACACAAGAAGGUAUAGGGAGGCCAAGCCCAUUAAUUGAUGCUACCUACUAUCGCGAUUAAACAUUCGCUCCCAGUUGCGUUCUUGCGCUGUCAAUGUUGCAUUAUAAGAGUAUGACGCAAAAAUGGAGGUUGAAAGGACUGAUCAGCAACUGUCGUUCCUUAAUGCCGAGCAUCGGGUCACAUCACUGUCACAUCAUCCCAAGAUUCUAAUAAGCUGACUUCUUCUUUUUAUGAGUGCUGUCUCAAUGACGCUGCAGAAAGGAAGGGCAGUAAGCAGCCACAUCCGCUAUAUUGGCUGUAGCAAAGCAAGCUAUGUUUGUAAGAUGCUGGACGAAGUGGGCCGGCAUCGCGGCGCGCAACCGAUGUGGAGACGAAGACGGAUGCGGGCGACGCGGGCGGCGGGAUGCUGUAGCUGAAUGUGCUCCAGUUAAAACGGCGCAAACACAGUAGCGCAGACGCGACUGAAAUGAGAGGAGAAGAGAGCCUACUGCCUGCUGCCUAUGGUAGCGCCACUGGCCACCGCAGACGUACGAGUACUCGGCCGCUACAGUUACAGUUCCAGUCGACCGCAGUGCAUCAUCGCCCUCUCAACCGCCGGCUCGUCCUCCUGCAGUUGGAGGAACCCAUGGACAUGCAGCGCGCCUGCCCGGUGUGCUUCUCCGAUCCGCGGAAGGACAUACCGCUCUCCGAUGCCAGCCGCUACAUGAAUCGCCUUUAUAGUGGACAGUGUGAGCUGUACGCACACACCGGCAACAGUUACUCCUUUACCUGGGAUCCGCCGAAUCCAUAUGCCCCUUCCAACGAUUAUUAUUCAGGUAUGCAGCACCACAUUGAGCAACCACCGUGGGACAUCCGUUCAUGAACCGCCAAGCAUGCGCAAGUCAAUGUGCCGGCCAAGGCACGCUAUCUCCACGGGCCGUCGCUACCGGGAUUUUGUGCCGGCGGAGUUCCGCGAGCAAGGUGGUGCAUGCGCGGCUUUGGUUUUCCGCUAUUCCCGGUUCUUUAAAAGCGGUUUCUCUCCGCUGGAUUGAAUACUUCUGCAUAAAUGGAACUACUUGUUCCAUCUGGCGUCCGACAGACCUCGGGGCGAAAUGUCACAGUGGAAUGUGAUGUCCUAGCGACCAAAUAUCCCGCGACGAAAGACGCAACUCACAAACGCGGAAAGCCGAAUUGUACCUCGCCGGGAAAUAGCCCUCUACGCCGCGUGAUUCCACGCAAGUUUGGAGUCCCAACGAUCACUACAUCCCGGUCCCGGUGAAGCGACUCUUUUUCCAGGACGAUGACCUUCAUACGACCGAUCGCUCCCCCGACCGGCGAUUCGUCCUGCUGGAGCUGGAGCAGCCCACGGACAUGCAGCGCGCCUGCCCGGUCUGUUUCUCCGAUCCACGGAAAGACGCACCGCUCUCCGACGCCAGCCGCUAUCUGAAUCGCGCCUGCAGCGGGCAGUGUGAUUUAACUGUACGGACACUCCGACAUCGUCUGGUCCUUUAAUUGGCCCGUCAACUCUCCUGCCAAAGACGUCGCAAAUAUUCCGCCCCACAUACCCCAACCACCAUGGGAUAUCCGCUCCUGUACCGACAAGCAUAUAUAUACCAAUAUACGGACGCCACCGUGCCGGCACGCUAUCUCCAGGGACCGUCGCUGACGGGGUAUUGUGCCGGUGGGUCUUCCGCGCAAGCAUGGGCAUGAAAGGAACUGCAGCGGCACUUGAAUAAAGAUUUUGGCACCAUUAUUGAAGACGUUAAUAUCGACGUGUCCACAUUGCGAUGGAUCCAGUGAUCGAAUAUGGCAGUGCCACCAGUAUUCCAAAGACAGUGUGCACCAUGAGUGACUGGUCCAAACCAUCCUAGCUAAAUUCUGGACGGAGAUAUCGCGAAAAUGCGAAUAUACUAGAAAAAAAUACGAUUGCAAUUGGACCAUUAAGGGAAGCAGUGGAUCAUCAAAUAAGACGCAGGCAA